UGGGGAAUUUUGGACAAUGGGGGAAACCCUGAUCCAGCCAUGCCGCGUGUAUGAAGAAGGCCUUAGGGUUGUAAAGUACUUUUGUUAGGGAAGAAAAGCUAGUUUUUAAUAAAAAUUAGUGAUGACGGUACCUAAAGAAUAAGCACCGGCUAACUACGUGCCAGCAGCCGCGGUAAUACGUAGGGUGCAAGCGUUAAUCGGAAUUAUUGGGCGUAAAGCGAGUGCAGACGGUUACUUAAGCCAGAUGUGAAAUCCCCAAGCUUAACUUGGGACGUGCAUUUGGAACUGGGUGACUAGAGUGUGUCAGAGGGAGGUAGAAUUCCACAUGUAGCGGUGGAAUUCGUAGAGAUGUGGAGGAAUACCGAUGGCGAAGGCAGCCUCCUGGGAUAACACUGACGUUGAGGCUAGAAAGCGUGGGGAGCAAACAGG
rnacentral:rRNA from 1 species